rnacentral:rRNA from 1 species
UACGAAGGGGGCUAGCGUUGCUCGGAAUUACUGGGCGUAAAGGGAGCGUAGGCGGACAUUUAAGUCAGAGGUGAAAUCCCGGAGCUUAACUUCGGAACUGCCUUUGAUACUGGAUGUCUUGAGUGUGAGAGAGGUAUGUGGAACUCCGAGUGUAGAGGUGAAAUUCGUAGAUAUUCGGAAGAACACCAGUGGCGAAUGCGACAUACUGGCUCAUUACUGACGCUGAGGCUCGAAAGCGUGGGGAGCAAACAGG